rnacentral:rRNA from 1 species
GACGAACGCUGGCGGCGUGCUUAACACAUGCAAGUCGAACGGUAAGGCCCCAGCUUGCUGGGGUACACGAGUGGCGAACGGGUGAGUAACACGUGGGUGACCUGCCCCGCACUUCGGGAUAAGCCUGGGAAACUGGGUCUAAUACCGGAUAGGACCGCACCGUGAGGGUGUGGUGGAACGUUUUUCAGUGUGGGAUGGGCCCGCGGCCUAUCAGCUUGUUGGUGGGGUAAUGGCCUACCAAGGCGGCGACGGGUAGCCGGCCUGAGAGGGUGGACGGCCACAUUGGGACUGAGACACGGCCCAGACUCCUACGGGAGGCAGCAGUGGGGAAUAUUGCACAAUGGGCGGAAGCCUGAUGCAGCGACGCCGCGUGGGGGAUGACGGCCUUCGGGUUGUAAACUCCUUUCACCAUCGACGAAGGUUUUCUGACGGUAGAUGGAGAAGAAGCACCGGCUAACUACGUG